CCUACGGGCGGCGGCAGUGUGGAAUAUUGCACAAUGGGCGCAAGCCUGAUGCAGCCAUGCCGCGUGUGUGAAGAAGGUCUUCGGGUUGUAAAGCACUUUCAGCGGGGAGGAAGGCGCCAAGGUAAAUAACCUUGGCGAUUGACGUUACCCGCAGAAGAAGCACCGGCUAACUCCGUGCCAGCAGCCGCGGUAAUACGGAGGGUGCAAGCGUUAAUCGGAAUUACUGGGCGUAAAGCGCACGCAGGCGGUCUGUCAAGUCGGAUGUGAAAUCCCCGGGCUCAACCUGGGAACUGCAUUCGAAACUGGCAGGCUAGAGUCUUGUAGAGGGGGGUAGAAUUCCAGGUGUAGCGGUGAAAUGCGUAGAGAUCUGGAGGAAUACCGGUGGCGAAGGCGGCCCCCUGGACAAAGACUGACGCUCAGGUGCGAAAGCGUGGGGAGCAAACAGGAUUAGAUACCCCUGUAGUC
rnacentral:rRNA from 1 species